rnacentral:lncRNA from 1 species
CUGGCGUGAAUACCUGCCUCCACUGGGGUCUGUUUACAUCUUGGGGACGAGUCAACUCAAUGGCAACAGGUCUCAAUGUGCUAUCAUCGCUGAGGAAGAAUAGUGCUCGAGAAGCAUAUAAGGUGCUAUCAUCCAACUCUCUCACUUUGUUCACAUACGGUAGAAGCAAAUCAUGAUAGUCCAGCAUGAACAAUCUCUUGUUCUCCAGAGCCUGCAUGCACACAUCCAUUGAUAUUUAUUCAUUAUGGAAAUACUCCAUAUGGAUGGAUGGAUAUAUGUUUUUUUUCUUCUUAAAACCUGUUAGAUAUUUAUUAAUUUUUUUACCUCAUCAAAUGACAUGACUCCUUUGAUUUCUCUUUCCACAAUCUCACUAGUAAUAAGUGAGUUGGGAUCACCAUAAACCACAGGGUCCAGUUUACUUUUCAACGGCCACUCCUAUAACAACAGUUAACGUGAUCUGAUCUUUAACUAGCUGGCUUUUUUUUUAAAACAAAAAAAAAAUCAUAAACAUGUAACGUAUGGAUCUUACUUUACUGGGAACAAUCAGGACCGUGCACACCAUAUAAUAAAAUAAAAAAGACUUUUGUCUUAGCCCCCAAAUAAAUAUAGAUUUUUUGGGGCUCCAAAUUAUAAAAAUGUUUGUUAUAGUGUAGUGGUAGAGUGAAGUUUAUGUGUGACGACGGGCCUCUUGUUCAAUUACCCCUCACUACAUCUAUUUUCUUAUAAGAUUUUGACUUAGGCUUCGUCUAAAGCACGCUACUUGGAAGAAUCAAAAUAAAAACUAGUAGUUAAAUCGUAGAAGUAUAUAUAGCUUACUUGAACUUGCUGAAUGCAAUAGGGAUUAAGUCCUAAACCUAAACAUUAUCAGAAGAAGAAAAAAAAACUCCUAAUUUAAAUUAUUAGUAACUUUUAUUUGAAAAAUAGUAAAUGUUUCCAAUCCGUAAAUAUGUACUACAUAAAAUCUCAUAAUUACUUAAGAGAUAAUAUACAAAAUAAUAAUAUGUUUGUUUAUGUAUCACUGAGUAUAUAUAUAUAUAUAUAUAAUAUAAUUUUUUUUAAAAAAAAAUCGAAAAUAUUUUGAAAAUUAACUAAUUUUAGAACUAAUUCUUAUUAAUCCAGUAUAAAUUUAUUACUAAGUUUUGAAAAAAAUAAUAUCAGAAUUGUUCAUAAAAGAAUUUCAAAUAGCUUUAGAAAGAUAAAAUAACAAAAUAGAAAAUAACUAAAAUAGAAAUUUUGAUAAUAACAAUUACAAUAAGAUUAAUUCAUUAAGAUUAUCAAUGUAUUUAACCGUUUUAAGAAUCAACGUAAAAUACUAACUUGUUAAAUAAUAUAAUAGGGAUGGAUCUUGCUUUAUUGGCAACAAUCAAAAGAAGAAUAAAAACUAUUAGUUAAAGCGUAUAUAGCUUACCUGAACUAGCUGAAUGCAAUAGGGAUUAAGGCCAGCAAGUGUCUGGCGAGCAAACUCGUCGUCUCGGAUCCAUGAGAAUCUAUCCUCUGAAUCAAAGUGAAUGAUACAGUAAAGUGAGAUUAAUUGUAGCUAGCUAGCUGUAUAGAAUUGGAUAUAAAAAUAUAAGUGGAGGAUUAAAAAUUGGUACUGUCAAGGAGACUAGGGGAUUCAAACUGGAGAAUAUCAUCAGCUUCAGCAGCAGCUUUGACAAGUCUGGGGAUCACAGGAAAAAGACCAGCAUCCUUGGGAAGCUCGAUGCCUUCUUCAAAGAGAUCUUCUAUGGACUUGAAGUGUGGGAAGGGCAUGUUGGGAUCCACCAGAGCAGCUUCAAUCUGUGGGAACACAGCAGGAAGAGCCGACAAGACUGCUGUGCCCGUGAAUUGGGCACCCUUGACUGUGGUGAACUCCUCGUCUCUGGGGACAUAGAAUUCCAAUGCUUUACGAGUCUCAGCGGAGGGGUCUUUGUCGCAUGGUUUGCGACCAGUUUUGCACCGCCUUGGGUAUGGGUGAGAGAGACCUCCCAAAAUGGGACGGGCAAGUUCCGGAUCUUUAUCAGGAUUACCCAAAUCGUUGUACACGUCAUAAUCGUAAACCCGCUCGAACUUUUCGAAUUCACCAGCUCGCUCACGGUUCUUGCCUUGCAAGGUCUCCAGCUCCUGUUUUCGCAGCUGUUUAAGAGGCUCCGGAGUUUGGAGAGGCAAGUAGGACUUGUUGGAGAAGAACGUCCGCUUGGUUGGGUCUUCGGACUUGGGGGCCACCCACGAGUUAAAUGUAAAGGUAACGGAGCCGUCGGGUAGCUCAAGCUUCAUUUCCUUGAGGAAUAUCUCUUUAAGAUCCUGGUUUAAAACUCUGAUGGCACCCACCGGUCCAAAGUCUUCGGGCAUGUCGAACACACAUUCGUACUGAUCCUCACCAUGUGCAUCCAACAAUACACGUCGUGCGUUAUCCUUCACCGGAUCCUUCUCCAUGAGCGUCCCUGACAUGUGUUAAUUACUUGGUUAAGUUUCAUUACCAGUAUUCACUAAUGAUGCAUUUGCCUACUUUUUUACUUCACAUUAUAAAUUUAUAUACUCAAAAUGUGAUAGCUUCUUAUAUAAUAAUAAUAAUAAUAAUAUGUUUGCCUUAUAAUUGUACUCACGGGGGUCGGUCUCGGCGCUAAUAAGCUCGACGAGCAGUGAAACUCCGAGCAAAUCGGUUACACCAACGGAAGGUAACAAGCCUUGUUUGGCCGUUAUAAUUCCCUUCACUUUGAUUUUCUUAACUCUUUCUUUCGUUAUCCAAUCAAAAUCAAACUUUGAGGCUGUGACCGUACAUCGCCCUCUCAGGUUUGGACGAGGACACACCUUGUUACGAUGUCCUGCCGAGAGGGGGUUGACGAGUGCUGAUGGUUUAGUGAACUCAGAGCUGAGACUCUUUGCUAUGUUUAAGGUUUGGAGACUGGACGACGCCUCUUUACAAAACAUCUUUAUCUGUUUGCUUCUAUUUUGCUACUCUUGUGCAUCCCCGCUACAUCUAUUUAUACAAAUUUAGAAAAUAUUAAAUCUUUUCUCAUUUCCUUUUUUUUUAUCACUUAAUCUUUUCUCAUUUCCAAAAGUAGAAAAAAGUUCUCUACAUACUGAGUCCUCGAGUUAGAAUGUUAGUUUAUUGAUUAUGUGAUUACUAACUAUAUAAAUGGAUUUUAGUCAAAAAAAAAAAAAGGAUGAGCUUUUAAUUAACUUACAUAAGACCACCUCCAUCACUAAGGAGUCCAAAUGGGUACUUAACAUUAAAGUAGUAUUUAAUUUUGUGAUUUGAUAGCUUAAGGACUCAUGUUAGUGUAUUUAAUUUUUCAUCCUCCAUUGGUAGAACCACAUUGAGGUUUCUUAAAUUUUUUUUUUUUCUUUAAAGUAGAAUGAUUUAAAAUAAAAGCAUACAUAAAAGUGUUAAUAAAUAUUAUACAAAACAUAUUAAUAAUACAAAUACAAAUCGUGAACGAGAAAAAACGAUUAGUUGAAAUCUUGAGGAGUUCCAAACUUUUGCCAUAUAUUCUCAACCAAAUCAGCUUUCAGUCGUUGAUGUAUUUGGUUAUCACGGACUUCAUUCCGAAUAGUCAGCAUGCCCAUAACAUUAUGGAGAUUUGUAGGCAUCUGUGUUGAAAAGUUUAAAUCGACAUGUGAACUUCGGCUUGAUUCCGGUUGUUCGAAAACUGAUACAUCAGUAAGAGUGUACUUGUCUCGUUCAUCUUCCACGAUCAUAUUAUGAAGAAUGAUACAUGCUCUCAUUAUCUUUCCAAUUUUUAUUUUAUCCCACAAAAGAGCUGGAUUUUUGACAAUGGCAAAUCGAGCUUGCAAGACCCCAAAAGCACGCUCGACAUCUUUACGAACAGCUUCUUGCUUUGUAGCAAAUAAGGAUGCUUUUGGACCUUGCGGUUCUCGAAUAGAUUGGACAAAAGUAGCCCAAUUUGGAUAAAUACCAUCUGUGAGAUAGUAAGCCAAACGGUAGUUAUGUCCGUUAACAGUAUAAUUGACUUUUGGAGCUCGACCUUGUAAUAUAUCAUCAAAAAUCGGUGAUCGAUCAAGAACAUUGAUAUCAUUUAAGGUACCUGGAGGUCCGAAAAACGCAUGUCAUAUCCAAAGAUCUUCUGAAGAUACAGCCUCUAAAACAAUAGUUGGUUUUCCUGAUCCACGUGUAUAUUGACCUUUCCAAGCGGUCGGACAAUUCUUCCACUCCCAAUGCAUACAAUCGAUGCUUCCUAUCAUCCCGGGAAAUCCGCGCUCCUCUCCAGUAUCAAGGAGUCGUUGAAGAUCUUCUGGUGUGGGUCUUCUUAGAUAUUCUUCUCCAAAUAAAUCUAUGAUUCCUUGUACAAAAUGUUCCAAGCAUAAAAGCGCGGUGGUCUCACCAAGUCGGAGGUAUUCGUCGACUGCAUCAGCUGGGCAACCAUAUGCCAUCAUACGAAUUGCUGUUGUUGCCUUUUGUAAUGGAGAGUGACCGAACCUUCCAGUAGCAUCUCUUCUUUGUUGAAAGUAUGGAAUUUCAGCGGAGAGUCGAUCAACAAUUCGCAUGAACAAAGGCUUGUUCAUUCUAAAACGGCGUCGAAACAUGUGAGAAGGAUAUGUUGCAUCUUCACUAAAAUAAUCGUUCCACAACUGCAUGUGUCCUUGUUCGCGUUGUCUUUCAAUGUAAGCUCUUUUUUUUUGGACUUUGCAGCUGCUUGACGAUUUUCAUGGUGAGUGUAAAGUUGCUCGAAUUGUUCGUCCCAAAGUUGAUCAAAUGCUUCAUCCAAAAUAUCUUCAAAAUUGUGUGAAGAAGAAGAAGAAGACAUUUGAAAGUGAAAUGGUAAGAGAGAGAUGAUAAAAGAGAAAUAGUUUGAGAGAAUAUGAAACGAGAGAAAACGUUUGGCACAAUUUGAAUCUUACAAUGCAGCAAAAAAAGAGAGAAAGAAACCGUUAGGCACAAUUUGGAGAAUACAAUUUUCUAAACAUGCUACUACAUUAUAAAGGAAGAAUAUGAAACGUAUGGAACUUUAGGAUUCACAUGCUACGACAUUUGAAAGUUGUUUUAAUUUUAAUUUUUUCUCUUUAAUAUAUCAGGACCUCCUCUAGAUGCUACCGAUGGAGGUGGUUUAAGAACUAGAUAACUAACAGUAAGAGCCUGUCCGGUGAUUAUAAGGGCCUAUCAAAAUAAAAUUAUUCAUAUUAAUCAAUUUUGAUUAUAAGGGCCUAUCAAAAUAAAAUUAUUCAUAUUAAUCAAUUUUUUUAAUAAAUUUUACGAAACUCUUAUUUAAAUAAUUAUAGUUUAUAAUAUAGAAAAUGAUAUACUAAAUAAUUACAGAAAAAGUUAAGUUAUUGUAAAAUAAAAAUAUCAAUACAAACAAAAUAGGUUAUGUUUUUAAAAGAUAUUAUAAUAUUUUAAAAAUAAACUGAUAUUUUGUUUGCUUUAACUUCACAACUAUUUUUUUUAUAUCUAAAUCAUAAUAAUAUGAAACUUACUUAAUAGUUUAUUAUUAUAUUUAUAAACUAAUUUUUCGAUUAUACUACUUUAUACCUAUAUAUAUAUAUAUAUGCUAUUGUUUAAAAAUAGGGGGUCCAUAAUGUAAGGCCCCAUGCAAAUAUUUCACAUCAAUAAUAUGAGACCCCAUGCAAGUGUAGACUUAUUUAUUGUGUUUUCGGCAUUUUCAAAUUUAGGAAAUUGCUAGUUUUUAGACGAACCUGUUUAUUUUGUAUUUUAAAAAGAAUCAUUUAAUUUUCAAUAAAAAUAUUUAAUUUUACUAUAUGUUUGAUGGAAAAAAAAUAUGUAAUCUUUUAACCGACAACACAGUGAUCCAACCCAUCGUAUAAUCAUACAAAUGAUAUAAUUUGUAAUCAAUUUAAUUAUUUAUUGAUAAAUUAAGUUUUAAUUAAUACUAAUUUAAAUUUUUCUCUUAUUUAAGCAUUGUAAAUUAGACCAAUGUGAAACAAAGUUGAAACGAAAGAGAUUUUUUAUGUGAAUCAUGUGUUCAAAAACUCGGGUGCAUUGUCGAUUACGCCUCAGCCAUUUAAUAGUAUUGAAGGAUCGUGCCUCAGCCAUUUAGACUCAGUUAUAGCCAAAAUGGUAUCUUGCCUUAUGUAUCACAUAUGAAGGGAGCAAGCUCGUCGUCACCACCAGGGGCAGACGAAAGUACGGCGGUAUGGAUCAUGUGCCCCCUACUGAUUUUUAUUUUUUCUUUGAUAGUUUAAUUUAAUUUAUCAAAUAUCAUUAGUUUAUUGAAGAAAAAUGUAAAAGUGCUUCCAUCAAAAAUUUUUUUGACUGUUUAUAACAUGGUGCCCCCGGUUAAAAACGAAAUGGACAACGACUGUACAACUCACUAAGAUAGUUGUUCUCAAAAAAAAAAAACUCACUAAGAUAGUUGAUAAGGUAUUAAGAAAUAGGAUAAUUUCACCAAAGUACGAGCCCAUGACCCAUGACAUUAGUAUGUAGGGCUACUACAGAGAUGGUUUCAACUUUCAAUUUUUUUUUUUCAACUUUCAAUUUGAUUCUGGCUACUUUUUUAUUCUUUUUUUUGCGACAUAGGUUAAACGUUUCAUAUAGGAACCGAGUUUGCAUAGAUUUUAUUCUUUUGUAAUGCAUGUCUUUUUGAGUGAUUAAUAAAUUUAAAAUUUCAUCCAAAUUUUUUUUAAACUAAAACUUAUUUAAAUAUAUUUUUAAUAGUAACUUUUAAAAUUAAGUUUAUUUGAAAACGUAAUUAUAUGUUGUUUUAUGUGCAUAAUUUUUAAUAUAUUACCUAAUUUAAUUAUAUUUAUUAUUUAAUUUAAUAAUUUUAUUAAUAUAAUAUAUAAAUAUGUUAUUAAUUUAAAAUAUAUAAAAUUUUCUUUGUAUAUAUAAUGUAUAAAAUCUAUUCAGCAUUCAUUUUCCAGUGUCUUUUUCACAAAAAGUAUGGGAGUUGGUACCUUACCACCUUUAGGCGGAUUGGAUCAUUUGCCUCUGAACUCAUUUAAUUAUGGUUGGAAGUUGGCUUUGAAGGCUACUACACUCCCACCUACCAAACUUUAUGACUGUCCCUUGGCGCCUUGGAUAAUCUCAGCAAUCUAGAUGACAAGAAAUUUUAAAAUUUUCCAGCAUCUUCAUUUCUUGGCGCAAGACACAAUGACUAAGGCUAUUACAGAUACUAAGGGUUUCAGAAUUUAAUCGGGUUUUCAGUUCCAAAUUUUGUUUAUACUUAGUUAAACCUGAAAACUAAAUAAUGAUCCAGUGAAACAAAUAUUAAAAAUUUGAAAUGAGAAAUGUGAAAUGCUCACAAUUAUUUUUGGUUCCAAUGUAAUAUUUGACAAGUGAAAUUAGAAAACAAAACUCAAAAACUAUGUGCAAAUACAUCAUAUCUGAUAAACCAGAAGUAGGAACACAUCAAACCCGACAAAGUUGACUAUAUAGAAGAAGGAAGAGCACCAAAUACCAAAAUAUAUUAAACUAAUAAUUUGAGUUAAUUAUUAUAUAAUAGACACUUAUUUUAGGUACUCAAUGAAAUUUUAGAGUAUUUUGGGUAUUUAUUCGGGAUUGAGUUCAGGUUUAGUAUAAGUAUCUUUCUGGAAUUAUGAAUUUUUAGUUUGUUCAGAUAUCCAUUUGGGUUCGGAUUCGGUUUGGAUAAAAACCAUAACCCAAAAUAUCGUAACAUAAGUCCCAUUCAGUAUUUAUGUCGGAUUUAGUUCGGUCGAAUUCAUUUUUUUCAUGUUGGUUUCGGUUUGGGUUUUCGGAUUCGGUUUGUUUCCCACCCGUAAAAAGUAUAUUGAAAGAUAAGGGCCGACGCCAUGGACAUGCCUCAUCCAACAUCGUAUUUUUGUAUGUUGUGGGUUAAUGCCCAAAAGACCAAAUCAAAGAUUAGGGUUGAUGUCAUCUGAUCUUUUUGAAAAUCAGAUUUAUGUAACUAGUAGCAAAGUUUCAUCGGAGGGCUAUUUUAGUGAUCAAUUUGUUUUUAGUUCAGUCUAAAUUUUAUUUAAAUUGGAAUUUCUUAAGUAUAGUUAAUUUCUUGGUCAAUUAUAUUUUCUUGAGAGAAUUAACAAAAUGAAACACACUAAACUUUAGUUUAUUUCAUUAGGACUUUGUUAAUAGGCUAUUAUCCCUUGAUUAAUCUAAUUUAACCUUAACUAAAAUAAAAUAAAAACACUAAAUUAAAAAAAAAAAUUCUUCCUCAAAGCCCUUUUCACUCAACCUUUGUAUCUCUUUCGCUCAUCUUCUUGCUGAACCCUAUGUUCUUCUUCUUUCUUCUUCAAUGGUGAUUUCCAUGUAUGCUAUAUAUAUCGUAGCUUCUUCUCUUUUAGUCCAAGUAGUUUUGUCCCUAUCAGAAGACUCCGCAGCAGUUCCAUCUUCUAGAGAUUUUCAUCAGCAGAGCCACUGGUACAAGCAUUUAUAUAACUGAUCUGAGUUGUUGUAUGAAGCUCUUAGUCUCUUAGAUCAAAAAAAUGAUGAGGGAGUGAACGAAUGGUUUUAGUGUUGAUAUUUCAAUUGAUUGAUUGUUUGAAGCCUGUUGAUGACAAGAUCACGGAGAUUGCUUCGUGAGAAAUACUUGAAGCAGCACAAUGUGAGGGAUUGGCUCAGAGUUAUUGCAGCCAACAAUAAUCGUAACCUCUAUGAGUUGAGGGAUUUCAACAUCACUGAGAACGAAGCAGAGGAAAAUGGCUACAAAAAUGAUUAGUUUCUCUUCCUCUCUCUCUCUACAAUUGUCACCGUCUUGGUAAAGAUAUUAUUCUAGUUUGAUUGAAGUGAAAUACACUUUCAUUUGUGAUUGCGCCGUUAGAAAUAUUAGUGAUUUAAUGUAUGUUUAACUAUAAAGUAGAAAAAUGUAUUUAAUUUAACAACUUACAAAAUAAAUGUUAGGUCCAACACAAUGUUUCUGUUUUAAUAAUAUAAAUUAUCAUAGCCUACCCGGAUUUACAGUAAUUCAAUUUCAGUAUUUUUGUUAAUUUAAAAGUUUACUCGGAUCUGGUUAUGAAUUUUCAUCGAUUUCAUAAACUUUUCGAGGUAAAAUUGUUUUAAUAGGCCUUAACUUACUAUACUUGAAUACAAUCUUCAAUAGGUCAGGUCAACUCGAUGGGGUCAUUUUCCUACGUCCAACAAUAUUUGGUCCAAUAAACAUAAGAUAACCACACAUUAAGUCUUAUUCCCAAAAGAAAUGACAACAUCAAACUCCUUCACCGCUGCCCAGCACAAAGUACCCCUUGAGCAGGUUGAGAUUCAUUAUUUAUUACAAAAGCAAGAAACUUAGAUGAUAAUAACUUGGUAGAAAGAUAGAUGAUAACUUCCAAUGUAUUUGAUCAAAAUGCAUUAGAUCAAAUAGACACACUGUUGGGAACACCCAUCCCGGUAAGGACUGGUUCAGAGAUAGGCUUCAAAAGCUCGUACUUAACAACACCUGCUCCAGCUCGAUUCUUUAGAGCAACAUCCACGUUCCUCUCAUCUAUCACUCCUUCUAGGUAUUGGAGCUUGCCUUUGAAACGUUCAUAUGCAGCAUAGAUGACAGGUUCGUGGGCCCAAGACGCUUCUGCGUUUUCUCCUAGGUAUUCUUCAUCUGGUGAAUGUGUCGAUAGAAGAUCCAAAGUCAACAUCAAUUUCGUCGCCUGCUUCUUCGACGGGAAUGUCUUAAGCAUGGUCUUCUCUGGAUCCUCAUAGAACUCUUUUAGCUCUUCCUCUGUCGGUUCUUCCACUGGCAUUUUUAUCCUUGAUGUGGUUGGUCGGUUGGGAAAGUAUCCACCAUAUCCGUACUGUCCAAAGUUUACAGCUGCAUGGUGACCUGAAGCCACCCAAGCAAUCGUAGUCACCACUUCAAUCAAGUCAUCUUGUGUUUUGAGGACAGGCCACCAUGGUUCAUUUUUCUUGUCUCCAUGCCCUAUGUUCCUCACUUCACUCCACCAUCCUUGGAGUUCCUCAUCCAACUUGACCUGUUCCGCAUUUGGAUAAUAGUGAUUCACAUAGUCUGUUACCCAUUCCUUAAGUGCAUCCCACAGCAUCAGACCGUCAGUCGCAAAUGGGUAAUCUGGUAUCGUCAAGCGAACCCCAUGUUCAGCCGUCUCAUCUUCCACAGCCAGACCCCUUUGAUAUCACAAAAUUUUAAAUGUAAAAAGUUGUUAGCAUAAUUAGUAUAAAUCGAUGUUCAAUAAAUCAUUAUGCGCAUAUUAUGCGUUUUGUAUGAGAUUAUUGCUUGUGUUUAGACCGAUUUUUUGAAUGCUUAUUUAAAAAAAUAGGUGUAGAAAAAUCAUUUCAUUUAGAUCGUGUAGAAAAAUCAUUUCAUUUAGAUCCGAAUGGGCGGACGCCUUGGAGCCAAGUUUUAGAACACUUAAAUUAAUACUUACAAAGAAAUAAGUAUAGUCUUAAUUAGGAACUAUGUACCUGCUGAUUAGGUCUGCAGGUAAGCCUUCCCUGUCGAACCUCCAUAGUUUGUCAUAGACAUCUGAACUUAGCUCUAAUGAAUACUUUCCGGGCCAGAAACAAGACUCAAUGAUUCCACCUGCGUUGACGAGACUUUGGCGUCCACGAGCGUUGAUCUCCAUCGUGUAGCGGAAGUGGGGAUGCAAAAGCCUAUAGAUAGGAUGCAUGGCACUUAGUUGUCUGUUUGCCGCUAUAAUGUAUGGCUCCAUACAGCAGUGAGUCCUCAGCCUGUAAAAUUUUCCAUCUCUUAACAGCAAUAACACAUACGCAGAAUCUUCCAAAAAUAAAAAUAAAAAAAAUAACACAUACGCAGAGCCGUGCAAGCAUUCAUAACGAACAUAAGCGGUUGAAAAUAAAAUGUCUUAAUUUGUAUAAAAUUAAAUACUAUUGUCACAGAUGAAAAACACCGACAAUAUACAACAUUCAUUCUAAACAUAAUUUAUCCUAUUCUUAUUAUGCAAAUUGAUGACUAAACUUUAUUUUUAAUAUCCAGAAAUCGUUUUAAUGGAAAAAUAACCAAUUUUACUUCAUCAUAUUUUUAUCUUAUUUUCUAUUAUUGUCAGUUUUUCUAUUUAAAAAUAUUAUCUAGGUAUUCUACUAAUAAAACUACGAAAAUGUCAUUAGAAAUCCCUAAGACCAUAAGAAUCAAUCUUUUAUUACUUUCUUUACCCAACCCAUAUUUAGCUUAUCCAAAUUACUAUAACAUAAAUCCAUACACUAUACAUAGAUAUCUUCUUUUAUUUAGGAGUAAAAUUAGUAUACUUAAUUAAAAAUGUUUUAAUCGAAAACAAAAGAUGCCAUAUUAAGUUUAUAAAAAAAACGCUGCCCUAGGCGAACGCUUCAUUUUUCAUAACAGAGGCACGGCUCUGCACAUACGUCUAAUGUGUAUAACCAUAUAUACACGAGAGGAUCAAGUUCGUUCAAUACCAGUGGGAAAUAAGCUGGUGAUAACCAGUGUCAUGAGUAAUAGCGUGAGUCUUAGCAAGACUCCAUAGCCAGCAGGAGGUAGCAUCAUAUCCUGGCGUGAAUACCUGCCUCCAUUGGGGCCUGUUUACAUCUUGGGGACGAGUCAACUCAAUGGCAACAGGUCUCAAUGUGCUAUCAUCGUUGAGGAAGAAUAGUGUUCGAGAAGCAUAUAAGGUGCUAUCAUCCAACUCUCUCACUUUGUUCACAUACGGUAGAAGCAAAUCAUGAUAGUCCAACAUGAACAAUCUCUUGUUCUCCAGAGCCUGCAUGCACACAUCCAUUGAUAUUUAUUCAUUAUGGAAUUACUUCAUAUGGAUGGAUGGAUAUAUAUAUAUGCUUUUUUCUUUAAAACAUGUGGAUAUUAGUUAAUGUUACCUCAUCAAAUGACAUAACUCCUUUGAUUUCUCUUUCCACAAUCUCACUUGUAAUGAGUGAGUUGGGAUCACCAUAAACCGCAGGGUCUAGUUUGCUUUUCAACGGCCACUCCUAGAACAACAAUGUGAUCUCAACUAGCUUACUUUUUCUACUUUUAGUUUCAAAACCGAAACAUGAUUUUCUUUAUAAAAAGAAGUUCCAUCAAACCAUGUACGUACUAGGUGACUCUUCUGUGCUCAUGCACGGGUAUAAAAAUUUACAAAAUAAUCAAUUAUAAUUAAUAUCUUUUUGCUUUCACUUAUUGAUCAAUUUUAAAUCCUAUUAUAAUCAAUAUGUGUGUGAAAACUAAUGUAUGAAAAUUAAAUAUCAUGUUAUGUUUUAAAUAAAAUUAUGUUGUUAUCUCAAUUUAGUAUGAUAUUGUAUAUAUAACAAUUUAGAUAGGUUCAAUUAUUCUUUUUGGUAUAUUAGAUUGUUUAUAAUUUUCAACUAAAUCAUAAUUUAUUGUGGUUUAAAAUAUAUUAAAAUCAGAUUAUUGUAAUUAUAUUUAGUUCGAUUCAUCAUAUUAAUUUGUUAAUAUAUUUUAGAAAAAUCUCUAUUAUUUAAUGUAUAAGUUGUUUUAGGAGGCGUCAACAAAAAAAAAGUCGACAAAAAAAUUGUUUUAGGAGGAAAUAGAAAUAAAAAGUAAGUGUUACUUUAGUUAGAAUUGCACUAACCAAUAUAAACAGUGAUGUUCUGAAAGUUAUAUAAAUAACUAAAUUAUAAUAACUGAUUAAUGUUUUGCUUUCACUGGUUCAUAAAAUUUAUGAAGGUUUAUAACUUAUGUCUUGAAAAAUAAAUAUAAUUUUUAAUUAUAUUGAUAACUCAGUUUGACAUAUAAUUCUAGGUAUAAGAAUUCAGACCAAUUUGAUUAUUUACUUUUAAAAAAAAUUGCAACAAUUUAACUAAAUUAAAGUAACUGUUUUUCUUGGUUCUAAUUAUGGUAAGAUAUUGUGAAUCAUUUUGUUAUUUCAUUUAUUUUGGUUAUUCAUCUUACAUUAGUAAGUAUUUUAUAAAUCUUAUAUAAUUUCUAUAGUCCAAAACUAACAUUAUAAGAAGAAAAAAGAAACAACUUCGAAUUUAAAAUUAGUAGUAACUUUUAUUUGAAAAUAGUUAAUAUUUUCAAUCCGUUAAUAUGUUCUAAAUAAAAUAUCAUAACUACUAGAUAAUAUACAAAAUAAAUAAUAUGUUUUUAUGUAUUACUGAGUAUAUAUAUAUUUUAAACGAUAAUAUUUUGAAAAUUAAUUAAUUGUUAAACUAAUUUUUAUUAAUCCAGUAUACAUUUAUUACUGAGUUUUGAAAAAAAAAACAAUGUAAGAAUUGUUUAUAAAAGACUUUCCAAAUAGUUUUACAAAGAUUUAUAGAUAUUUUCCAUUUUGUUAUUUAAAAAAAUAUUAAUAAAAACUAAAAUAAAAUUUUUGAUUAUGACAAUUACAAGAAGUUUAAUUCAUUAAGGUUAUUAAUGUAGUUAGCCGUAUUAAAAAUUAACGUGAACACGAAACAUAGAAAAAUGACUUCUACGAUAAUAUAGCUAUUAGAUAAAGCGUAUAUAGCUUACUUGAACUAGCCCAAUGCAAAGGGGAUUAAGGCCAGCAAGUGUCUGGCGAGCAAACUCGUCGUCUCGGAUCCAUGAAAAUCUAUCCUCUGAAUCAAAGUAAAUGAUACAGUAAAGUGAGAUUAAUUGUAGCUAGCUGUAUAGAAUUGGAUAUAAUAAAUAUAUAAAUGGAGGAUUAAAAAAGAGCUUGUUACUGUCAAGGAGGAUAGGGGAAUCAAACUGGAGAAUAUCAUCAGCUUCAGCAACAGCUUUGACAAGUCUGGGGAUCAGAGGAAAAAGGCCAGCCUUCUUGGGAAGCUCGAUGCCUUCUUCAAAGAGAUCUUCUAUGGACUUGAAGUGUGGGAAGGGCAUGUUGGGAUCCACCAGAGCAGCUUCAAUCUGUGGGAACACAGCAGGAAGAGCCGCCAAGAUUGUCGUGCCCGUGAAUGCAGUGCCCUUGACUGUGGACCACUCCUCGUCUCUAGGGACAUAGAAAUCCCCUUUGCGUGUCUCAAUGGAGGGGUAUUUUCGGCUUGGUUUGCGACCAGUCUUGCACCGCCUUGGGUAUGGAUGAGAGAGGCCUCCCAUAACGGGACGGGCAAGUUUUGGAUCUUUGUCAGGAUCACCCACAUCGUUGUACACGUCAUAAUCGUAAACGCGCUCAAACUUUUUGAGUUCACCAUCACGCUCACGGUUCUUGCCUUGCAGGGUCUCCAGCUCCUCUUUUCGCAGCUGUUUAAGAGGCUCAGGAGUUUGGAGAGGCAAGUAGGACUUGUUGGAGAAGAAUGUCCGCUUGGUUGGGUCAUCGGACUUGGAGGCCACCCACGAGUUACAUGUAAAGGUAACGGGGCCGUCAGGUAGCUCAAGCUUCAUUUCCUUGAGGAAUAUCUCUCUAUGGGCCUCGUUUAAAACUCUGAUGGCACCCACCGCUCCAAAGUCUUUGGGCAUGUCAAAUACACACUCGUACUGAUCCUCACCAUGUGCAUCAAUCACUAAACGUCGUGCGUGAUCCUUCACCGGAUCCUUCUCCAUUAGCGUCUCUGACAUGUGUUAAUGACUUGGUUAAGUAUCAUUACCAGUAUUCACUACUGAUGCAUUAGCCUACUUUUUACUUCUUAUAUAAAAUAAUAAUAAUAUGUUUGCUUGAUAAUUGUACUCACGGGGGUCAGUCUCGGCGCUAAUAAGCUCGACAAGCAGUGAAACUCCAAGCAAAUCGGUGAAGCCAACGGAAGGUAAUAAGCCUUGUUUGGCCGUUAUAAUUCCCUUUACUUUGAUUUUCUUAACUCUUUCUUUCGCUCUCCAAUCAAUAUCAAACUUUGAGGCUGUGACCGUACAUCGUCCUCUGAGGUUUGGACGAGGGCACAGCUUGUAACGAUGUCCUGCCGAGAGGGGGUUGAUGAGUGCUGAUGGUUUAGUGAACUCAGAGCUGAGACUCUUUGCUAUGUUUAAGGUCUGGAGACUGGACGAUGCCUCUUUACAAAACAUCUUUUAUCUGUUUGCUUUUCUAUUUUGCUUACUCUCUUGUGCAUCCCCGCUACAUCUAUUUAUACAAGUAUAGAAAAUAUUAAAUCUUUUUCUCAUUUCAAAAAGUAGAAAAAAAUGUUUUCUACUGAGCUAUCAACAAACUUUCUCAACUUACUAUCUUAACUUCAUAAUAUUAAACUUUCUUCACUUGAUAUCUUAAAUCAAGUUACAUUUUUAAUCGAGUUUUUUUUUUUUGAUAAUCCAAGGAAUCCGAACACUUGGAGGGAACCCACUAUGUACCUGCUGAUUAGGUCUGCAGGUAAGCCUUCCCUGUCGAACCUCCAUAGUUUGUCAUAGACAUCUGAACUUAGCUCUAAUGAAUACUUUCCGGGCCAGAAACAAGACUCAAUGAUUCCACCUGCGUUGACGAGACUUUGGCGUCCACGAGCGUUGAUCUCCAUCGUGUAGCGGAAGUGGGGAUGCAAAAGCCUAUAGAUAGGAUGCAUGGCACUUAGUUGUCUGUUUGCCGCUAUAAUGUAUGGCUCCAUACAGCAGUGAGUCCUCAGCCUGUAAAAUUUUCCAUCUCUUAACAGCAAUAACACAUACGCAGAAUCUUCCAAAAAUAAAAAUAAAAAAAAUAACACAUACGCAGAGCCGUGCAAGCAUUCAUAACGAACAUAAGCGGUUGAAAAUAAAAUGUCUUAAUUUGUAUAAAAUUAAAUACUAUUGUCACAGAUGAAAAACACCGACAAUAUACAACAUUCAUUCUAAACAUAAUUUAUCCUAUUCUUAUUAUGCAAAUUGAUGACUAAACUUUAUUUUUAAUAUCCAGAAAUCGUUUUAAUGGAAAAAUAACCAAUUUUACUUCAUCAUAUUUUUAUCUUAUUUUCUAUUAUUGUCAGUUUUUCUAUUUAAAAAUAUUAUCUAGGUAUUCUACUAAUAAAACUACGAAAAUGUCAUUAGAAAUCCCUAAGACCAUAAGAAUCAAUCUUUUAUUACUUUCUUUACCCAACCCAUAUUUAGCUUAUCCAAAUUACUAUAACAUAAAUCCAUACACUAUACAUAGAUAUCUUCUUUUAUUUAGGAGUAAAAUUAGUAUACUUAAUUAAAAAUGUUUUAAUCGAAAACAAAAGAUGCCAUAUUAAGUUUAUAAAAAAAACGCUGCCCUAGGCGAACGCUUCAUUUUUCAUAACAGAGGCACGGCUCUGCACAUACGUCUAAUGUGUAUAACCAUAUAUACACGAGAGGAUCAAGUUCGUUCAAUACCAGUGGGAAAUAAGCUGGUGAUAACCAGCGUCAUGAGUAAUAGCGUGAGUCUUAGCAAGACUCCAUAGCCAGCAGGAGGUAGCAUCAUAUCCUGGCGUGAAUACCUGCCUCCAUUGGGGCCUGUUUACAUCUUGGGGACGAGUCAACUCAAUGGCAACAGGUCUCAAUGUGCUAUCAUCGUUGAGGAAGAAUAGUGUUCGAGAAGCAUAUAAGGUGCUAUCAUCCAACUCUCUCACUUUGUUCACAUACGGUAGAAGCAAAUCAUGAUAGUCCAACAUGAACAAUCUCUUGUUCUCCAGAGCCU